rnacentral:rRNA from 1 species
GACGAACGCUGGCGGCGCGCCUAACACAUGCAAGUCGAACGAGCGAGAGAGAGCUUGCUUUCUCGAGCGAGUGGCGAACGGGUGAGUAACGCGUGAGGAACCUGCCUCAAAGAGGGGGACAACAGUUGGAAACGACUGCUAAUACCGCAUAAGCCCACGGUGCCGCAUGGCACAGAGGGAAAAGGAGCAAUCCGCUUUGAGAUGGCCUCGCGUCCGAUUAGCUAGUUGGUGAGGUAAUGGCCCACCAAGGCGACGAUCGGUAGCCGGACUGAGAGGUUGAACGGCCACAUUGGGACUGAGACACGGCCCAGACUCCUACGGGAGGCAGCAGUGGGGAAUAUUGCACAAUGGGGGAAACCCUGAUGCAGCGACGCCGCGUGGAGGAAGAAGGUCUUCGGAUUGUAAACUCCUGUUGUUGGGGAAGAUAAUGACGGUACCCAACAAGGAAGUGACGGCUAACUACGUGCCAGCAGCCGCGGUAAAACGUAGGUCACAAGCGUUGUCCGGAAUUACUGGGUGUAAAGGGAGCGCAGGCGGGAAGACAAGUUGGAAGUGAAAUCUAUGGGCUCAACCCAUAAACUGCUUUCAAAACUGUUUUUCUUGAGUAGUGCAGAGGUAGGCGGAAUUCCCGGUGUAGCGGUGGAAUGCGUAGAUAUCGGGAGGAAGACCAGUGGCGAAGGCGGCCUACUGGGCACCAACUGACGCUGAGGCUCGAAAGUGUGGGUAGCAAACAGGAUUAGAUACCCUGGUAGUCCACACCGUAAACGAUGAUUACUAGGUGUUGGAGGAUUGACCCCUUCAGUGCCGCAGUUAACACAAUAAGUAAUCCACCUGGGGAGUACGACCGCAAGGUUGAAACUCAAAGGAAUUGACGGGGGCCCGCACAAGCAGUGGAGUAUGUGGUUUAAUUCGACGCAACGCGAAGAACCUUACCAAGUCUUGACAUCCCUUGACAGACAUAGAAAUAUGUAAUCUCUUCGGAGCAAGGAGACAGGUGGUGCAUGGUUGUCGUCAGCUCGUGUCGUGAGAUGUUGGGUUAAGUCCCGCAACGAGCGCAACCCUUAUGGUCAGUUACUACGCAAGAGGACUCUGGCCAGACUGCCGUUGACAAAACGGAGGAAGGUGGGGAUGACGUCAAAUCAUCAUGCCCUUUAUGACUUGGGCUACACACGUACUACAAUGGCGUUAAACAAAGAGAAGCAAGACCGCGAGGUGGAGCAAAACUCAGAAACAACGUCCCAGUUCGGACUGCAGGCUGCAACUCGCCUGCACGAAGUCGGAAUUGCUAGUAAUCGUGGAUCAGCAUGCCACGGUGAAUACGUUCCCGGGCCU